UUGGGCUAUAGCCAAGCGGUAAGGCAACGGUUUUUGGUACCGUCAUUCCUAGGUUCGAAUCCUAGUAGCCCAGUCC
rnacentral:tRNA from 1 species